rnacentral:rRNA from 1 species
AAAUUGAAGAGUUUGAUCAUGGCUCAGAUUGAACGCUGGCGGCAGGCCUAACACAUGCAAGUCGAACGGUAACAGGAAGCAGCUUGCUGCUUUGCUGACGAGUGGCGGACGGGUGAGUAAUGUCUGGGAAACUGCCUGAUGGAGGGGGAUAACUACUGGAAACGGUAGCUAAUACCGCAUAACGUCGCAAGACCAAAGAGGGGGACCUUCGGGCCUCUUGCCAUCGGAUGUGCCCAGAUGGGAUUAGCUUGUUGGUGGGGUAACGGCUCACCAAGGCGACGAUCCCUAGCUGGUCUGAGAGGAUGACCAGCCACACUGGAACUGAGACACGGUCCAGACUCCUACGGGAGGCAGCAGUGGGGAAUAUUGCACAAUGGGCGCAAGCCUGAUGCAGCCAUGCCGCGUGUAUGAAGAAGGCCUUCGGGUUGUAAAGUACUUUCAGCGGGGAGGAAGGGAGUAAAGUUAAUACCUUUGCUCAUUGACGUUACCCGCAGAAGAAGCACCGGCUAACUCCGUGCCAGCAGCCGCGGUAAUACGGAGGGUGCAAGCGUUAAUCGGAAUUACUGGGCGUAA